CGCGGUAAAGUCCAGGCCUUCCUCUCCAAAUCAAAAUCCGUAUUUGACCCCAAUUCACAACCCCUGGGGUUUCAUUUCCUCUCCCUCCUCCGUCUCCGUCGCCGUUUCUCCGCCGUCAAAUCCCUAAUUUUGCCGAAUCGGCGAUCCGAAAGAUGCAGAGAGCGCCAUGGCUGAGUCUGGGGUAGAUUUGACGACGUGGAGAAGCUCAAUUCCGAACGGGACUUCGGAUAUGGCAUUGUGCUCCCGCGACACGUGGUUCAUCGGCUGCCGGUUUCGUCUCCGAUCGGCGUUCGACUCGUAUUCCGUUGCCUGUGAGGCGUUUUCUGAACACCGUGUUCGUCUGAUUCCGGCCGCCGUUAGA
rnacentral:lncRNA from 1 species